AACCCUCACUUUUAGUUGCCAUCAUUAAGUUGGGCACUCUGAAAGAACUGCCAGUGAUAAGCUGGAGGAAGGUGGGGAUGACGUCAAGUCCUCAUGGCCCUUACGUGUUGGGCUACACACGUGCUACAAUGGUAUCUACAACAGGAAGCAAGACUGCGAGGUCAAGCAAAUCCUUAAAAGAUACCUCAGUUCGGAUUGCACUCUGCAACUCGAGUGCAUGAAGCUGGAAUUACUAGUAAUCGUGGAUCAGCGUGCCACGGUGAAUGCGUUCCCGGGUCUUGUACACACCGCCCGU
rnacentral:rRNA from 1 species